rnacentral:rRNA from 1 species
AGCAGCCGCGGUAAUUCCAGCUCCAAUAGCGUAUAUUAAAGUUGUUGCAGUUAAAAAGCUCGUAGUUGAAUUUCGGGACCAAUAUGUCGGUCGUGCCUCGGUACGUACUGGUGUCAUUGGUUUCUCUCUUCUGAGGAUCCUUGAUGUCAUUAAUUUGGUGUCUUGGGGAAUCAGGACUGUUACCUUGAAAAAAUUAGAGUGUUUAAAGCAGGCAUACGCUUGAAUACAUUAGCAUGGAAUAAUGAAAUAGGACGUUCGAUUCUAUUUUGUUGGUUUCUAGGAUCGACGUAAUGAUUAAUAGGGAUAGUUGGGGGCAUUAGUAUUCAAUUGUCAGAGGUGAAAUUCUUGGAUUUAUUGAAGACUAACUACUGCGAAAGCAUUUGCCAAGGAUGUUUUCAUUAAUCAAGAACGAAAGUUAGGGGAUUGAAGACGAUCAGAUACCGUCGUAGU